UUCUUGGCAUCCAUGAUCAAUGGUGCUGCUGAAGAUCUUGUGUUCAAACUGCAUUUCCUCCUGGCUGGAGAGAAGGUUAAGCGAUAUCUGUGCUCGCAAUAUCCAGUUCCGCCCAAAUAAAAAUUUUCAUUUCGGAAUACUGUGUAGUUAGGUGAGUAAACUACUCAAAGGAUACAUAAAAUGCUAUAUCACUCAUGAAGUUAGAAAUUUGCCUUGAAAA